GGUCGGUAGCUCAGAUUUGAAGAGCGUACGAGUUAUUAAACCGUAAGGACGUGGGUUCGAUGCCUGUUCGACCCUCCA
rnacentral:tRNA from 1 species